CUUGCAAAGUUUGCAAAUUUUGUAUACUUUUGUAUUGCAUGCGAAAAUUGCAAUACAAAAGUAUACAAAAUUUGCAAACUUUGGAAGUCUUA
rnacentral:miRNA from 1 species